rnacentral:rRNA from 1 species
GACGAACGCUGGCGGCGUGCUUAACACAUGCAAGUCGAACGGAAAGGCCCUGCUUUUGUGGGGUGCUCGAGUGGCGAACGGGUGAGUAACACGUGAGUAACCUGCCCUUGACUUUGGGAUAACUUCAGGAAACUGGGGCUAAUACCGGAUAGGAGCUCCUGCUGCAUGGUGGGUGUUGGAAAGUUUCGGCGGUUGGGGAUGGACUCGCGGCUUAUCAGCUUGUUGGUGGGGUAGUGGCUUACCAAGGCUUUGACGGGUAGCCGGCCUGGGAGGGUGACCGGCCACAUUGGGACUGAGAUACGGCCCAGACUCCUACGGGAGGCAGCAGUGGGGAAUAGUGCACAAUGGGCGGAAGCCUGAUGCAGCAACGCCGCGUGCGGGAUGACGGCCUUCGGGUUGUAAACCGCUUUCGCCUGUGACGAAGCGUGAGUGACGGUAAUGGGUAAAGAAGCACCGGCUAACUACGUG